ACGCUGGCGGCAGGCCUAACACAUGCAAGUCGAGCGGUAGAGAGAAGCCUGCUUCUCUUGAGAGCGGCGGACGGGUGAGUAAUGCCUAGGAAUCUGCCUGGUAGUGGGGGAUAACGUUCGGAAACGGACGCUAAUACCGCAUACGUCCUACGGGAGAAAGCAGGGGACCUUCGGGCCUUGCGCUAUCAAAUGAGCCUAGGUCGGAUUAGCUAGUUGGUGAGGUAAUGGCUCACCAAGGCGACGAUCCGUAACUGGUCUGAGAGGAUGAUCAGUCACACUGGAACUGAGACACGGUCCAGACUCCUACGGGAGGCAGCAGUGGGGAAUAUUGGACAAUGGGCGAAAGCCUGGUCCAGCCAUGCCGCGUGUGUGAAGAAGGUCUUCGGAUUGUAAAGCACUUUAAGUUGGGAGGAAGGGUUGUAGAUUAAUACUCUGCAAUUUUGACGUUACCGACAGAAUAAGCACCGGCUAACUCUGUGCCAGCAGCCGCGGUAAUACAGAGGGUGCAAGCGUUAAUCGGAAUUACUGGGCGUAAAGCGCGCGUAGGUGGUUUGUUAAGUUGGAUGUGAAAUCCCCGGGCUCAACCUGGGAACUGCAUUCAAAACUGACUGACUAGAGUAUGGUAGAGGGUGGUGGAAUUUCCUGUGUAGCGGUGAAAUGCGUAGAUAUAGGAAGGAACACCAGUGGCGAAGGCGACCACCUGGACUAAUACUGACACUGAGGUGCGAAAGCGUGGGAGCAAAC
rnacentral:rRNA from 1 species